AAAUGUGCAGAAAAAAGCCAAACCUAAGAUAUCUUGGUCUUAACCCUUUAUUAAGUGUUAAUGACUUCUUUUUGUUUAGACCUCACAGAGGGGGCCAGACUAACACAGGUGAGUACAUUAGAGAGAAAACACAAAGCAAUAAAGGCUCUCCUGUCAAGGCUAACAAGCAUAACAUGAAUUGAAAGUUAAAGCCAGAAAAAUUCAAAUUAGAAUUGAAUACCCAUUAGUUAACACUGAAAGAGAUUAACCACUGGAACAAGCUCUCAAUGUAAUGAAUUCUUCAUGUCUUGAUGUCUUCAGGUCAGGCAUUUCUGAAAAAUGUGCUGUGGCUAAACACAAGUUAUUAUUUAUUGAUAGUCAAAUAAUUAGCUUAAUACAUGAGCAAUUGCAUGAAAUGUAAUAACUUAUGAUACAGGAAGACAAAUUGUGCUCUGAAUGUAUGAUUUCAUAGCUUUUCCAGAAUGGGGCACAUGAGCACUUUGCCAGCUAUGAAUGUAUGGAUACUGGCACAUUGGUAAGUGAAACUUAGUAGAAUGAAUGAUGAACAGACACCCCUUUCUCCAUCAUUUUACAGACUCAAAUAUGUUGUUAUCUCCUUGCCACUUCAUGCUGAUCAGUGCUUCCUCUUUCUCACAAGCUUCCCAGCUGAAAAGGCAGCACCUGUAAGCCAACACCUGCUUGUGCUCUUCUAGUGAAAAAAAUGAUCAGGCCCAUUAUUUAGCUCAUCCUCUCCUUUUAUUUUAAACUGUAGAAGGUAUUAUAUCUUUCCCUGAUUCAGUGCUUCUCUUUGAAACAUUUAAUUUGCAAGUGGUAGAUUCAACAUUUAUCAGUUCCACUGACAAAAAGCCACUCCUUUUCAAUAGCUAUUAGAUGAAAUUCAUAAUCCUUCAAGAAUCUCAUUUAAUGUUAAAGAUCUGAAAUUAUUACAGCUAGGACACCUUGGCAAGAACGGAGAUCAGGCUUGAAGAAGCAUAAAUAGACAUUAAAUUACCCCAAAUGGAAUGUUCUAAUAUUCCAUUGAACAAUUCCCUCCUUAUCAAAAUAUUAAAUCCUGCAUGCCCUCAACUACUCUAUGUUGGCAGCAAUGUAAUAAAGAAUAACGUGGAUAAUACAGUAAAUGCGAUCAUCUCAGAGUCUGAAUUUCUCAUCCCAUGCACCAAGGAAAUAACUGUCAGUUCUGUGGCUGCAAAGGAUCAUGCAGGUAGGAAUAUAUAGUCUAAAAUAACUCAUAUGUAAUUCUGCUUUUCUUUUUUCCUAUAGUAACCUGUACAGGUCUCUGCACUGGACUCUCCCUUUUCAGAGUAGUGAAAGCAUUGAACAAUGAUUCAAAGGAAUCUACAUUGAUAGAAGCAGCUGGUGUGUCUUUUUGAAUGCUGCACAGGAAUCACAGGUACGGCUGCUGAGCUGGGGUUCAUUGAAGCACAACGAGCUCCACACUGACAUCAAACCUUGUGAAUCAACAGCACAGGAUCAAGAUGUUAUCAUCUUGGGAUACCAGAAUUCAGGGAAGUCUGGUCACUGUCUUUAAGCAGACUAGGAUGGUAAGCGAAGGGCACUUCUUACCAUUAUAGCAAUGCAAUUUGACUGCCUCGGUUACCUUUUCUGAUUUCUGUCAUGGAUUGCAGACUGUCAGUACUACAUUCCCAUUUCCCUUCCUGUCACUGAUGCAAGUUUUUGGGCCACUGCCUAGAAGAGAUCUCUAUAACAGAGGUCCCUUCUGUCUUUUUUUCCCCUGACGGAAUGAAUAUUCUCUAUUUCCAUACACAUCUGUUUUCAAAGGAGAAUGAAGAGUCCUUUCAUAACCUUGAACUGAGGCAUCUUCAUCUUGGGGAGAGAAUUUCCUCAAGCCCUCCAUUUUUGUAUUAUUUGCAGUAGGAAUUGAUGCCACACUUCUUCCUUUAGGACAGAAAGGGCAGAAGUGGGCUUCCUUCCUUAUUUAGUGCCUUCCUUAUCCUCACAGAAGGGACACAGUGCUCAGUAGUGAGGAGAAAACACUUCUGGACAUCACCUAGUCCAAAUCACCUGCUCAAGCAGGGCUGCCCACAGCAAGGAUUGUGUUCAGAUUAAUACUUUGAUGGAUGGAGACUCCCCAGCCUUCUGGGGCAACCUGUGAUAGGGCUUAGUCAUUUUAAAUAAUAAAAAUUGUUUCCUGGUGUUAAAAAAAAAACCCUGCCGUGUUUCAAUUUGUGCCAAAUCACCGCUGGUCUUGUUAUUGGGCCCCACCAAAAAGAGCCUUUCUCUACCCUCUUUGCAUCUUCCCUUCGGCUAUUUGUACAAAUCUGUGAGAUCCCAUUGAGCCUGCUCUUCUCAAAGCUGAACGGUCCCAGCUCUCUCAGCCUUUCCUCAUAGGAGAGAUGGUCCAGCACCUUAACCAUGGUCAUGACCAUUUGGUGGACUCUCUCCAGUAUGUUCAUGACUGUCUGUACUGGAGCAGCCCAGAUCUGAACCCAGCACCCCAGGUGUGCCCUCACCAGGGCUGAGCAGAGGGACAGGAUCACCUCCCUCGACUUGAUGGAAUCGCUUUGUCUCAUGCAGCUCAAGGUAUUGUUGGCCUUCUUUGCGGCAAGGGCACACUGCUGGCUUCAUGUAUGACCCGAUGCCCACCAGGACCAGUCCACCCAAUGCCAAAGUGCAUUCCAGCCGGGUAGUCCCCCACCUGUCCCGGCGCCUGAAUUGUUCCUCCCCAGUGGCCGAGUUUUGCCCUUCGCCUUGUUGAAGUUGCUCUCCCUGGGUGUCCCCGGGUGCACAGAACUCCUGUGCCCAGCUGGAGGGGCAGCGGGAGCUGUGGAGACACCCACGCACCCGGGCUAGGGAAGCAGCCUGCGGAGGACGGCGAGGAGGGCGCAGGGAGGA